UACGUAGGGUGCGAGCGUUAAUCGGAAUUACUGGGCGUAAAGCGUGCGUAGGCGGUUCGCUGUGUCCGAUGUGAAAGCCCCGGGCUUAACCUGGGAAUGGCAUUGGAAACUGGCGGGCUUGAGUGCGGCAGAGGGGGGUGGAAUUCCGCGUGUAGCAGUGAAAUGCGUAGAGAUGCGGAGGAACACCGAUGGCGAAGGCAGCCCCCUGGAUCGACACUGACGCUCAGGCACGAAAGCGUGGGGAGCAAACAGG
rnacentral:rRNA from 1 species